GCUGUCAGCUAGCUCUCUGCAACUCUCAUAUGGUCGCUCACUGAAGCUAAGCAGGGCUGCGCCUGGUCAGUAUCUGGAUGGGAGACCACAUAGGAAAGCUAGAUUGGUGCUGAAAGUG
ensembl:rRNA 5S_rRNA 5S ribosomal RNA